GACGAACGCUGGCGGCGUGCCUAAUACAUGCAAGUCGAGCGCAGGAAAUCGACGGAACCCUUCGGGGGGAAGUCGACGGAAUGAGCGGCGGACGGGUGAGUAACACGUAAAGAACCUGCCCUCAGGUCUGGGAUAACCACGAGAAAUCGGGGCUAAUACCGGAUGGGUCAUCGGACCGCAUGGUCCGAGGAUGAAAGGCGCUUCGGCGUCGCCGGGGGAUGGCUUUGCGGUGCAUUAGCUAGUUGGUGGGGUAAUGGCCCACCAAGGCGACGAUGCAUAGCCGACCUGAGAGGGUGAUCGGCCACACUGGGACUGAGACACGGCCCAGACUCCUUUGGGAGGCAGCAGUAGGGAAUCUUCCACAAUGGACGAAAGUCUGAUGGAGCAACGCCGCGUGAACGAUGAAGGCCUUCGGGUCGUAAAGUUCUGUUGUAAGGGAAGAACAAGUGCCGCAGGCAAUGGCGGCACCUUGACGGUACCUUGCGAGAAAGCCACGGCUAACUACGUGCCAGCCGCCGCAGUAA
rnacentral:rRNA from 1 species